rnacentral:rRNA from 1 species
AACGAACGCUGGCGGCAGGCCUAACACAUGCAAGUCGAGCGCGCCCUUCGGGGUGAGCGGCGGACGGGUGAGUAACGCGUGGGAACGUGCCCUUUUCUACGGAAUAGCCUCGGGAAACUGAGAGUAAUACCGUAUACGCCCUUUGGGGGAAAGAUUUAUCGGAAAAGGAUCGGCCCGCGUUGGAUUAGGUAGUUGGUGGGGUAAUGGCCUACCAAGCCGACGAUCCAUAGCUGGUUUGAGAGGAUGAUCAGCCACACUGGGACUGAGACACGGCCCAGACUCCUACGGGAGGCAGCGGGGGGGAAUCUUAGAAAAGGGGGGCAACCCUGAUCGACCCAUGCCGGGGGAGUAAUGAGGGCUUUGGGGUUGAAAAGCUUUUUAAGCUGGGAAGAUAAGGAGGGACCCGGAAGAAGAGCCCCCGGAAACCCCGGUC